rnacentral:sRNA from 1 species
AGCGAACGCCCAAAGUAGUAUCAUACAAGAUUCUUAGGCCCUCGGUUCACCCUCUGCACUACCUCUUGCGCCUUCCUCACCCUGUUCAUUCACACCACUCACCCCUGUUUCUUCAUCCUUCUUUGCCUGUUGAGCAGCCUUUGCAUCGGCAAUACCCUUCUCUUCCUCUUCUUUUGUCGCCAUCUUAUCGUUCUUCAUCGCGAGCGCACCGACAAGCGCGAUGAUAGACAAGGGCAAGCCGAUAAUGAACACCUGGGAGAGGGUCUUGGUGUAUGCUCUCAACACAGGCACGCGGAGGUCUUCGGGAACAGAAGUCCAGACGGCGGUGGCAUCGUUGACGACGGCGGAAAUGAUUUCUUCGCUUAUACCGGGGACCAUGGCUUUGAGGUGGCGCUGGAUCAUGUUUUCGAAUACGCUACCGGACAUGGAGAGGGCAACAAUUCGACCGGCGAAUCCAGCUUAAAAAAGAGAUCAACCAAGGCUCCUUCUUCAGAUCGUGUUGAACAGCAACCAUGACAUUCUGCAAGCAACAUCCAAUCCCGACUGCGAGGAUUACCUGGUAGCCAUAUAAGUUGGCGAUAGGAGUAGAAUAGUCGGUACUGUAGAAAAGACCGGAAGCGAUUGCGAGGAAGACGGGGCCGACGCAAAUGACGGGCUUGAAUCGGCCGAUUUUAGGGAUAAUUCGCGAAGUGAGGAUAAGGACAAAGACUUGGACGAGAAUGAGGGGAAGAAGUUUGACACCGGCAGAAGUGGCAGAAGUUCCAUGAACGGCUUGGAAAUAAACGAGGAUCAUGAAGAUACCAAAGACACAAAAGGAGACAAUGGCCGCACCACUACAACAAUCGAUUAGCCAAUUGUUCGAAUCGAGGUGAAAGGUGACUCACGCAACAGUCCUUCGCUUAAACAACCUGAUCCUAAAGUAGGAGAUGCUUUCUUUGACGAAAUACUCGUAGAGACAGAACGCGAUGGGGAGAACACCAGCAAACACUAAAGUAACGAUAACAGACGCGGAAUCCCAGCUCCUGGUGACGCCACCCCAUUGAGUACCAAGGAUGAAACAAACAGCCCAAGCCAUGGAAAGCACGACACCAACCCAGUCACACAUGAGCAAUUGCUUGAGCAUGGCUUUGGAGUAGCCCUUGUAAGAACUUUCACGACCAAGAGGGGGUCUGCUGGGCUGGAAGAAGAGGAGACAGCCGAUGGCGACGCCACCUAGAGGCAGGUUGAUAUAGAAACACCAUCGCCAACUGACAUGGUCCGAAAAGGCACCGCCGAUAAGAGGACCAACGACUGAAGCGAUGGCAAAACUAAAAAAAAAAAAAGCAUGAGCAUGGUAAUCACUGGAAAGAGAAGCAAUACUUACCAGACACCGAACAGAGCAAAAUACUGAGCCCUCGAGUGCAAAGGCGUCAAUUCAGCGAUAAUGACCAUACCGCCACUAAAGAUACCUGCCGCACCGGCACCUGCCAAAGCUCGACCAAAGAUCAAAAUGUUCAUGUUCGGAGCGACACCACAGGCCAAUGAACCCAUUUCAAAGAUAAACACAGCAAAGAUGAUGACGUGCUUAGAGGGAAAGAUGUUCAUCAGUUGAGAAUAGAGCAGAUUGAAUGAUAAGAGUGUGAGGCUAUGGAGUGUUAAUCUGAAUGAUGCGUACUAGGAAAGUAGAACACUUACAAGAAUCCAGAGUAGCGACGAUAAGUUGAUCUGCAUUGGUGUCAACAAAUUUGUCGAGUCAAAAGACGUUGAGCCACACCUACCUAAUGCAAACAAAAAGACGGAAAUCAUAAGACUUCCAAAGAUAGCCAUAAACCUCCAUUUGGGGAUCUCUAAUGGAGCAGUAACACCAGAAUGGCCCUUUGGAGGAGUCUUGCCUCCAGUUCCUUGGACACUUGACUGAUCACCUGGUGUAUGAGCCACGGCGGACAGAGGAAUGGCGGCACUGGCGGUUGGCAGAGGAUCUUCUUCCACACUAAACCUCUUUUCGCGGUCACCGUCUACGCUG